rnacentral:tRNA from 1 species
AUUAUUUUGGCAGAUAAUAUGCAUUAAAUUUAGGAUUUAAUUAUAUAGUAGAUCUAUAAAUAAUA